GUUGACCAUUUAGAGAGAAAAUGGUUUUUGUGCAAGAAACUAAUACUGGACUCUUGCACAAAAACCAUUUUCUCUCUAAAUGGUUAACUU
rnacentral:miRNA from 1 species